GAGUUUGAUCAUGGCUCAGAUUGAACGCUGGCGGCAUGCCUUACACAUGCAAGUCGAACGGCAGCACGGGAGCUUGCUCCUGGUGGCGAGUGGCGAACGGGUGAGUAAUGCAUCGGAACGUAUCCUGGAGUGGGGGAUAACGUAGCGAAAGUUACGCUAAUACCGCAUAUUCUGUGAGCAGGAAAGCGGGGGACCUUCGGGCCUCGCGCUCUUGGAGCGGCCGAUGUCGGAUUAGCUAGUUGGUGAGGUAAAGGCUCACCAAGGCGACGAUCCGUAGCAGGUCUGAGAGGAUGAUCUGCCACACUGGAACUGAGACACGGUCCAGACUCCUACGGAGGCAGCAGUGGGGAAUUUUGGACAAUGGGGGCAACCCUGAUCCAGCCAUGCCGCGUGAGUGAAGAAGGCCUCGG
rnacentral:rRNA from 3 species